UACGGAGGGGGCUAGCGUUGUUCGGAUUUACUGGGCGUAAAGGGCGCGUAGGCGGUCAGCACAAGUCAGUUGUGAAAUCUCCGGGCUUAACUCGGAAAGGUCAACUGAUACUGUGCGACUAGAGUGCGGAAGGGGCAACUGGAAUUCUCGGUGUAGCGGUGAAAUGCGUAGAUAUCGAGAGGAACACCUGCGGCGAAGGCGGGUUGCUGGGCCGACACUGACGCUGACGCGCGAAAGCCAGGGGAGCGAACGGG
rnacentral:rRNA from 1 species